AAGAAAAAUUAAAUAGAAAGAAAAUAAAAUGAAAUAAAGUAUAAUAAAAUAAUAUAGAGUAGAUUAAAAUAAAAUCAAAUAAGGCAUUGAAUAAAAAACAAAGUAUUUAUUUGAGUUAUUUGAGUAUUUAUGUGAGUUAUAUAUGCAAAUAUUUUUUAUUUAAUUUUUCUGUUUUUAUAUCGAGCUUUAGGCAAUUACCAUUUUUCGGCAACCAAUUGCCACAUUUAACCUCAGUUGAACUCGUUGGCGUUCAAUUAAAAUUACAUCGCCUUCAACAUACUACAAUAAACGCAAAAAGAAACGUAGAGAACUAAAAAAUAUUAGUGCCAUUUGAUAGAAAACUGAACUUCAAUAAAAUCGAAAACGUCAAAAUAAUUUAUACUGACAAUGCCAUGAAGUGUUGCAUUCAGUUCUGCAGCAUUGAAAUGCAGCUAAUAAACAAUAAUGCAUACUAAAGCAAAUUAAAGCAUUCUAAUUGGAAGACGAAAAUUGAAAGAUAGGAGAAUGUCAAAACGGCAUGUACAUACAAGUACAAACACACAUGUAUGUACAUAUGUGUGUACAUUAGAGCGCCCACCAAAUAUAUGGGAUGUGCAAAAGUAUUGUUCUUUUCGCUUCCCUGCCAUUGGCGGAUAGGUCGCGUUUUUAAAUAAGAUUUGCAUUAGAAAAUAUUUCUUCCUAAACGAUCCUCCUAGUGAAAAAUAGACAUUUUAAGCUGAAGAAAUGUUCUGCAAACGAGCCUUCUGUAGAGCCGAAAGUGAAGCGCUGACACUGGGUUUUCAUUUAUGUAUCUUAAUUCAAGCAAAAUAAUUACGAUCUUAAAAUAUUCUUUUUUAGGUUAUAAUUACAUUAAAGUGAACACGAAUUUGUUGUUACGAACUAUAAUAUUAAGAUUUAUUGUACGUAGUAGCAUAAUUUUGGUAAAUUUGAAUUUUUUUUAAUUAUCGUAUAAAUUUGUUAAAACGUGAUCUAUUCAAAAAUUAGCGAGGAGCGAAAAAAAAUAAUAAUUUUGCACCUUUGCGUGCUCUAAUACACAUAUCUACAUACUCGUAUAUGUAAAAUCAAGUAAAUCGCAUUAUUUUCUUGUGGAAUAUCUAUGCAAGUAUUUGUAUAAUUUUCUUGCUAAAAUAUGUAAAUAAGUAAAUAUGCAUAUAUGUACAUACAUACACAUAUACUACAUGAUAUUCUUGAACAUUUUUAUAGAUUUAUUACCUACAUAUAUGUAUGUAUGUAUAUAGAAAAUAGCAGCACAUUUGCUCAGGCAACAACAAAUGAGCAACUGACAAUAUGUUAACAACAGAUGUUACCCAGCAGGCCAUUAUAUUUGGGUCUCAUUUGCUUUGGGUACGCAAAAGCAAAUCAUUUCAAAAGACUCGAAUAAAUACGGUCAAAAGGCUAAUGUUACAAAGCCACUUCCGAGCCUAAGUAAUUUUAGCGAUAUGUGCAUAUGUUGUAAAUACCGGAAAUAAAAGCAAUAAACUAAAACUGAGACCUAAAUGGGAUCAUAAAAUCAAACAAAAGUGAAGAGCGAUUAAAUAUAACAAAAAUGAGAGAUAACAGAGAAUCAACAAAGCUCGUUAUUAUUAAAUAUUUAAAUAAUUUAACGUAAUACAAAAUUUAUAAUGCAUAAUUAUUGAAAUUUAGUGUUUGUUAUACUGAAAAUAAAAACGAUAACUCAAAAUUCUGAAGUAGAAAAGGUGUAAAGAAAGUUUGCGAAAAUCAAAGUCUGCGCAGAACGAUGCUGAAAGGAAAAAAAUUUUAAAUGUUAAAAAAUAUGUUGAUUUUUCCAAUGUCCGACUACUGAAGCCUAAGUGUCCGAGAACUAAACAAAAUACGUAACCGGAACGAUCCGGAUUUAUAUCCGGUCAAGGACUGCACGGGCAAUGUUUAUGCUGCUACAACAGCAACAACAACAGAACGAAAAAAAAGUAACGCCCUUCUUAAGCAAAACGAUUACAGUGAAACCAACCAUGGGCGGGCACUAACCGUCAAGCAACUUUUGCCCACCCAUGAGAGGUGUCCGCUCAAGGUCAUUGUCCUCACACAUCCACUUUGACGAUGAGUUUUUCCAGUUUGCAACCUGAUAAGAAAAAUCGGACGCAUACAUACAUAUAUACUAAAUGUAAUGAAUUCAUAAUUUUUUAUCUGGAAAAAUUAUAUAAUUAAUUAAGACAGACAAAUUGAUUUCCUCAUAAGCGUUAAUAAAAUCACGGCGCAACACACUAAAUGUGGGCAUACAAAAAGUCACAUCUUAUCCGGGUGGUUAAAUUUCAAGGGCCGAUGUUGAAUGUGAACCACACCUAAACGUCAACGACACCGUUCGACUUCUUUCUUUGGGGUUAUUUGAAAGAAAAGGUGUACGUCGAUAAGCCAGCAAAAAUUCAAGAGCUAAAGGUUGAGAUAAUUCGGCACAUUAACGGCAUAGAACCUCAAUUAUGCCUCAGCGUCAUCGAAAAUUUGGACCCUCGGAGGAGGUGUGCCGCCGAGGCCGCGGUGGCCAUUUUGUUCCAUACGUAA